rnacentral:lncRNA from 1 species
AAAUUCCUUUUCCGCAAGGCCUAAAGAAAAAUAAGAAGGAUGCACAAUUUUUCAAAUUUCUUGAAAUUUUCAAGAAAUUGCAAAUUACAUGUUCAUUUAGUACAGCACUAGAGCAAAUACCGAGCUAUGGAAAGUUCCUCAAGGACAUCUUAAGCAAAAAGAUAUGUUUGGAAGAUACAGAGACGGUGGAAUUAACGGAGGAGCGUAGUGUAGCAAUACAAAGGCAACUACCACCUAAGCAAAAGAAUCCCAGGAGGUUUUCUAUUCCUUGCACCAUUGGCAUUAUUUCUUUUGAAAGAGCAUUGUGUGAUCUAGGUUCUAGUAUUAAUUUAGUGCCUUUGUCUGUAGCUAAAAAAAAUUAGUUUGGGGAAAAUAAGGAAAACUACUAUUUCUUUGCAGAUGACAGAUAGAUCACUUACAUAUCCUCACAUUAUUCUUGAAGAUGUACUAGUGAAGGUGGAUUGUUUCAUAUUCAAAGCUGAUUCAUAUUUUGGAUAUGGAAGAAGAUGUCAAUACUCAAAUUAUUCUAGGUCGUCCAUUCCUCAUUACGGGAAGAAUGAUAAUUGACGUAGGAAAAGGUUCUUUGAUCCUACGAGAAGCCUAUCAAGAGGUGGAAUUCAAAGUUUUUUAUCCAACCAAGUACCCCAUUGAUUCGGAGUAUUGUUUCCAUUUAGAAGCAAUAGAUCAUGUUGUUCGAAGGCAAUUCAUAUCGGACUAUCCAAAAGAUCCACUAAAAGCAAGUUUUGGUUCAUGAGAUAAAGGUAGGAAAGGAGCCACUCGUUCUCGAAAUGGUGAACUUGUUGGAAACCAAGGUCGUCUCAAGCACCAUUGCAGCACCAACCCUCACUUUGAAAAGAUACUUGGAAGCAAAUUUCAAUCAUCAAAAGGAAACCUUCGCUCUCCAUGAUCCCGGGUGAUAAUGAUUCCAAAAGUCGGGCCGAGGACUAUAAACCAAACGCUUGUUGCGAGGCAACCCAAUUAGGUAUCUUCGUUCCUUUCUUUUCAAUUUUUUUCCUUUAGUUUCCAUCCCUCUAUGCCUUUACUAAUCGUUACAUUCAUCUACUUUAAACAUUGAGGACAAUGCUUAGUUUAGGUUCAGGGAUGUGGAAUUUUGUUGUUUUUGUUGUUAUUUGAGUUUUGAGUCAUAAAGAAAAGAAAAAAAAAACAACUGAUUUUGUGUUCCAAAGAAAGGAUUUUGUGUUUCAAAGAAUUUUUCAACUUUUUCUAGCCCGUAGAUGAUUGCAACAUGUUCCAAAUGUGUUACAGAAGUGGUUCUGGUCAUUAGAUGACUUGCAAACCCAGAAAAUAGCAAAACAACUUAUUAUGUUCUUCUUUUGGUCAGAAUCAAAUUUUUUGCCAUAUUUUUUUUUUGAUGUUUUUCAGGUAAAUUUGAAGGGACCAACAUGUUUGGAAUGGUUAUUAUGAUGAUUUGAAACAUUUUUGGGGGUCUCAAGUGGUUUGCAUGACGUUUUAGGAAGAUUUGAAGCUGAAAAAGUGGCCUAAACCCCAAAAAAGCCCAGCUGAUGUUUGCCCAGAAAUUUGAAGACUUGUCGUCGCUAAAGCAUUUCAGCGAUGGUGUUCAUCAGAUUUUUCAUCGCUGAAGUUUAAUUUUCCAAUCCAAAUCAAUUCAGAUCCAUUCCAUCCUCGAUCAGAGAUUUCUAGGAGCUAUUCCAGUUGUGUCCUCUUCCUUUUGAUGAAAUUUCUUUAUUCUUAAGCAAUUUCUUUAUUCUUUGCCAUGAAAGUUUAGGCAUCAUAAUUAUAGCAUUUCACUUAGCCAUGCUUUAAGUAUUUUGAUGGACAAGGUAGCUAUACUUGGACGAUUGUGGAGAAAUAAUGGAGACUACCCUUGUGAGAUGCUGGGGCCAAAUUGCCAUUUCUUAAGAGGGUAUUUGGGAUUAUUCUUAUUCACUAUUUUCUUUCUUUCUUAUUUAGAUUGAUCUCAAUUAGGCUUUUGAAUUGAAUACUAAGAACUAAUCUCUUUUUGUAGGAAUCAUCCUAUGCUUUCACUUUUGAAUUCGAUGGACCUUGAGAGAUGAUGUUAGGCUACGCAUGUUCUAACCACUAAAUAAGCCUUUUGUCCUACUUUUGUGUGUGCCAUUACCCCUUUGAAGCCAAACACUUAGCCUUUUCUUUCACCACCCACAAUAUUUCCUUACCAUUUUCACCUUAUUUUUAGCCAUACCCUAUAACUUGGGAGAUGCCAUGGCACAUGAAAACAAGAAUGAAGGUUAAGCUCUACAUCAACAAAAGAGGUAGCGUGUGCCGAGGAAAUAUGUGCUUAAAGUUCAAGGAAAAAAAAAAGAAAAAAAAGAGAGAAAUAUAUUCAACAACAAAAAGUGAAGCAUAUCAAAAAUUCUGGACGCCUUUGUGAAGUAAAAUUGAAGAGCCAAGCCGUAUAACACGGUAAAUGUCUUCGUAUGUCUGAAGUUGUAGUAUUUCCUAUCAUUUCUUUCAUAACGCAUAACCUAGCCCUACAUUACAACCAUAAUAAAGACUAAACAAAUCUUUGGAGGUAUGCAUCUUAUUUAUGGUUCUUAGUAUUUGAUUUUCUUUCCAUGAGAUCUAUUUCCAGAAAUUGCCUUUUAUUCAUUUUGGAUGCAUAUGUGUCUUGAGUGCUAUCCAGUGAGGCCUACAGUCGAGGCGAAUUUGUACACACACCGAGUAUGGUUAUCUUUAAGGUAGAAUGCUUGGGGUAUUGGCUUUACACUUUACACUAUGGUGCAUUUUAUUUAUAGUGGCAUAACUUUAGUUUUGAAAUUGGGAUUAGCAUUCAUUGGUUAUUAUUAGUUUGUUGGAAGUAUUGCUUUAACGAAUUUGCUUUCCAAGGAGCGUUUGUGGGUGUCAUGACUGCUAAACCCUCAUGAGACACAACUCCUCCUACUAGGAACACCUAAAUGUUUAAAGGCUUGUGGCACAUGCUAAGUGCCAUGAUAUUACUUGAGAAAGUGGUUUACUUUAGUUUGUUUGUUGUAUAUUAUUUUUUAUUUUUAGUUUUGCUCGAGGACUAGCAAAAAAUAGGUAUAGGGGUAUUUGAUAAGCCUAUAUUUUAUAUAUAUUUUAUGCCUCCUUUACUUAUUUAUUUGUUAAUUUUCUUGGAUUAAAUUGGUUGUUUAAUUUGUUUUGUGAGAUUGGUGAAGGAAUUGUGAAAUAUGAGAAAUUGAGGUAAAAAGGGGCAAGAAGAUGAAGAUUGGAGAUUAAUUAAAAAAGAAGCCAAGUCAUUCCUUUUGUUAAAAAGAGUGUUGUCAAAUUUCCUAGUUCAAGAUUGUUCAAGUCUUACCAAGUCAAAUAAGGAGAAAUAAAGAAGACCUUAUAUUAGAAGG